rnacentral:lncRNA from 1 species
AUGAGGCAAGUCUACAUUUUUAUGCCUCGGUUCACAACCGAGGAAAAAAGGUAUAGGAUUUCACCUCGGUUCAAAGGGAACUGAUGCAAUAAGUUUUUCGUUUUUUUUUUAUUUUUUUUCGCAGCACUUAAUGCCUCGGUUCAGAAAGAGACAGUAUGUCCGCCUCUACUGUCUCGGUUAGGACCUAAACCGAGGCAGUAGGGUCUUUUUUAUUUUUUUUUCUUUGGCCAGCCUUUAUGCACUAGUGCAAAAACGCGGUUUAACGUCACUCCUUAGACGUCGGUUCCGUGAAA